GCUGGCUCGGGUACCGAUGUUUCGAGAACCUGCUUAGAAUCAUUCACGUUCCGGAGCCCGUCAAUACAAGUAGCUGAAGAAAGUGUCUCCGAUUUGCCGGAAAGUGCAACGGCACCGGCGUUUCUGAUCCUCCAGAAGCUGACAGCUGCCAUGACAAGAGCGACCCACGUCCAUAGAUUAUUGACAACAGCAAAGAUCCCAAAGC
rnacentral:misc_RNA from 1 species